rnacentral:rRNA from 1 species
AGUUAAAAAGCUCGUAGUUGGAUUUCUGGCGGGAGCGGCGGGUCGCGCACUCUGUGUGUGAACUUGGCUGUCUCUGGCCAUCCUUGGGGAGAUCUUGUUUGGCAUUAAGUUGUCGGGCAGGGGAUACCCAUCGUUUACUGUGAAAAAAUUAGAGUGUUUAAAGCAGGCUUAUGCCGUUGAAUAUAUUAGCAUGGAAUAAUAAGAUAGGACUUUGGAACUAUUUUGUUGGUUUGCGUUACAAAGUAAUGAUUAAUAGGGACAGUUGGGGGUAUUYGUAUUUYGUUGUCAGAGGUGAAAUUCUUKGAUUUCCGAAAGACGAACUACUGCGAAAGCAUUUACC